rnacentral:rRNA from 1 species
AGGCAGCAGUUAGGAAUCUUCCGCAAUGGACGGAAGUCUGACGGAGCGACGCCGCUUGGAGGAGGAAGCCCUUCGGGGUGUAAACUCCUGAACUGGGGACGAAAGCCCCGUGUAGGGGGAUGACGGUACCCAGGUAAUAGCGCCGGCCAACUCCGUGCCAGCAGCCGCGGUAAUACGGAGGGCGCGAGCGUUACCCGGAUUUACUGGGCGUAAAGGGCGUGUAGGCGGCCUGGGGCGUCCCAUGUGAAAGGCCACGGCUCAACCGUGGAGGAGCGUGGGAUACGCUCAGGCUAGAGGGUGGGAGAGGGUGGUGGAAUUCCCGGAGUAGCGGUGAAAUGCGCAGAUACCGGGAGGAACGCCGAUGGCGAAGGCAGCCACCUGGUCCACUUCUGACGCUGAGGCGCGAAAGCGUGGGGAGCAAACCGGAUUAGAUACCCGAGUAGUCC